UACGGGGGGGGCAAGCGUUGUUCGGAAUUACUGGGCGUAAAGGGCUCGUAGGCGGCCAACUAAGUCGGAUGUGAAAUCCCCAGGCUUAACCUGGGAACUGCAUCCGAUACUGGAUGGCUUGAAUUCGGGAGAGGGAUGCAGAAUUCCAGGUGUAGCGGUGAAAUGCGUAGAUAUCAGGAGGAACACCGGUGGCGAAGGCGGCUCUCUGGACGGAUACUGACGCUGAGGCGCGAAAGCGUGGGGAUCAAACAGG
rnacentral:rRNA from 1 species